GCGUGGCCUCCUACAGGAGGCAGCAGUGGGGAAUUUUGGACAAUGGGCGCAAGCCUGAUCCAGCCAUGCCGCGUGUCUGAAGAAGGCCUUCGGGUUGUAAAGGACUUUUGUCAGGGAAGAAAAGAACAGGGUUAAUACCUCUGUUUGAUGACGGUACCUGAAGAAUAAGCACCGGCUAACUACGUGCCAGCAGCCGCGGUAAUACGUAGGGUGCGAGAGUUAAUCGGAAUUACUGGGCGUAAAGCGAACGCAGACGGUUACUUAAGCAGGAUGUGAAAUCCCCGGGCUCAACCUGGGGACUGCGUUCUGAACUGGGUGACUAGAGUGUGUCAGAGGGAGGUAGAAUUCCACGUGUAGCAGUGAAAUGCGUAGAGGUGUGGAGGAAUACCGAUGGCGAAGGCAGCCUCCUGGGAUAACACUGACGUUCAUGCUCGAAAGCGUGGGUAGCAAACAGGAUUAGAAACCCCAGUAGUCCGA
rnacentral:rRNA from 1 species